rnacentral:rRNA from 1 species
UGAUCUUGGGCUCCAGGUUGAACGCUGGCGGUAGGCCUAACACAUGCAAGUCGAACGGCAGCACAGUAAGAGCUUGCUCUUAUGGGUGGCGAGUGGCGGACGGGUGAGGAAUACAUCGGAAUCUACUUUUUCGUGGGGGAUAACGUAGGGAAACUUACGCUAAUACCGCAUACGACCUACGGGUGAAAGCAGGGGAUCUUCGGACCUUGCGCGAUUGAAUGAGCCGAUGUCGGAUUAGCUAGUUGGCGGGGUAAAGGCCCACCAAGGCGACGAUCCGUAGCUGGUCUGAGAGGAUGAUCAGCCACACUGGAACUGAGACACGGUCCAGACUCCUACGGGAGGCAGCAGUGGGGAAUAUUGGACAAUGGGCGCAAGCCUGAUCCAGCCAUACCGCGUGGGUGAAGAAGGCCUUCGGGUUGUAAAGCCCUUUUGUUGGGAAAGAAAUCCAGCCGGCUAAUACCUGGUUGGGAUGACGGUACCCAAAGAAUAAGCACCGGCUAACUUCGUGSCAGCAGCCGNCGGGUAAUACGA